UGUAAAGUAAUCAAAUGGAUAAGAUCCAUCCCUAUAAAGGAUGAAAUGCUGGUUCGAAUCCAGCCUUCACAGA
rnacentral:tRNA from 1 species